CGUAGGGGGCUAGCGUUGUCCGGAAUCAUUGGGCGUAAAGAGCGCGUAGGCGGCCCGGUAAGUCCGUUGUAAAAGUCGAAGGCUCAACCUUCGAAUGCCGAUGGAUACUGUCGGGCUAGAGUCCGGAAGAGGCGAGUGGAAUUCCUGGUGUAGCGGUGGAAUGCGCAGAUAUCAGGAGGAACACCGAUAGCGAAGGCAGCUCGCUGGGACGGUACUGACGCUAAGGCGCGAAAGCGUGGGGAGCGAACAGGAUUAGAUACCCUGUAGUCCACGCCGUAAACGAUGGGCACUAGGUGUGGGAGGUGUCGACUCCUCCCGUGCCGACGCUAACGCAAUAAGUGCCCCGCCUGGGGAGUACGGCCGCAAGGCUA
rnacentral:rRNA from 1 species